rnacentral:rRNA from 1 species
GGUGAUCUACCCAUGUCCAGGAUGAAGGUAAGGUAAUACUUACUGGAGGUCCGAACCCACGCACGUUGAAAAGUGCGGGGAUGAGGUGUGGGUAGCGGAGAAAUUCCAAUCGAACUUGGAGAUAGCUGGUUCUCUCCGAAAUAGCUUUAGGGCUAGCCUCGAGGUAAAGAGUCAUGGAGGUAGAGCACUGUUUGGACUAGGGGCCCUUCUCGGGUUACCGAAUUCAGAUAAACUCCGAAUGCCAUGUACUUAUACUCGGGAGUCAGACUGCGAGUGAUAAGAUCCGUAGUCGAAAGGGAAACAGCCCAGACCACCAGUUAAGGUCCCCAAAUAUAUGUUAAGUGGAAAAGGAUGUGGGGUUGCUUAGACAACCAGGAUGUUGGCUUAGAAGCAGCCACCAUUGAAAGAGUGCGUAAUAGCUCACUGGUCGAGUGACCCCGCGCCGAAAAUGUACCGGGGCUAAACAUAUUACCGAAACUGUGGAUGAACCUCUUUAGAGGUUCGUGGUAGGAGAGCGUUCUAAGGGCGGUGAAGUCAGACCGGAAGGACUGGUGGAGCGCUUAGAAGUGAGAAUGCCGGUAUGAGUAGCGAAAGAAGGGUGAGAAUCCCUUCCACCGAAUAUCUAAGGUUUCCUGAGGAAGGCUCGUCCGCUCAGGGUUAGUCGGGACCUAAGCCGAGGCCGAUAGGCGUAGGCGAUGGACAACAGGUAGAGAUUCCUGUACCAGUGCUAAUUGUUUAACCGAUGGGGUGACACAGAAGGAUAGGGAAUCGCACGAAUGGAAAUGUGCGUCCAAGCAGUGAGUGUGAGAAGUAGGCAAAUCCGCUUCUCGCGAAGCAUGAGCUGUGAUGGGGAAGGAAAUUAAGUACGGAAGUUCCUGAUUUCACGCUGUCAAGAAAAGCCUCUAGGAAGAGUAGUACUGCCCGUACCGCAAACCGACACAGGUAGAUGAGGAGAGAAUCCUAAGGUGAGCGAGAGAACUCUCGUUAAGGAACUCGGCAAAAUGACCCCGUAACUUCGGGAGAAGGGGUGCUCUAUUAGGGUGCAAGCCCGAGAGAGCCGCAGUGAAUAGGCCCAGGCGACUGUUUAGCAAAAACACAGGUCUCUGCAAAACCGUAAGGUGACGUAUAGGGGCUGACGCCUGCCCGGUGCUGGAAGGUUAAGAGGAGUGCUUAGCUUCGGCGAAGGUACGAAUUGAAGCCCCAGUAAACGGCGGCCGUAACUAUAACGGUCCUAAGGUAGCGAAAUUCCUUGUCGGGUAAGUUCCGACCCGCACGAAAGGCGCAACGAUCUGGGCACUGUCUCAACGAGAGACUCGGUGAAAUUAUAGUACCUGUGAAGAUGCAGGUUACCCGCGACAGGACGGAAAGACCCCGUGGAGCUUUACUGCAACCUGAUAUGGAAUGUUUGUACCGCUUGUACAGGAUAGGUAGGAGCCGAAGAGACGUGUGCGCUAGCAUACGAGGAGGCAAUGGUGGGAUACUACCCUGGC